UACGAAGGGGGCGAGCGUUGUUCGGAUUUACUGGGCGUAAAGGGCGCGUAGGCGGCAAUUCAAGUCAUCUGUGAAAUCUCCGGGCUUAACCCGGAACGGUCAGAUGAUACUGCUUUGCUAGAGUGCGGAAGGGGCAAUCGGAAUUCUCGGUGUAGCGGUGAAAUGCGUAGAUAUCGAGAGGAACACCAGAGGUGAAGACGGGUUGCUGGGCCGACACUGACGCUGAUAGCGCGAAAGCCAGGGGAGCAAACGGG
rnacentral:rRNA from 1 species